UCGGGAAUUUUGGGCAAUGGGCGAAAGCCUGAUCCAGCCAUGCCGCGUGUGUGAAGAAGGUCUUCGGAUUGUAAAGCACUUUAAGUUGGGAGGAAGGGCAUUUACCUAAUACGUAAGUGUUUUGACGUUACCGACAGAAUAAGCACCGGCUAACUCUGUGCCAGCAGCCGCGGUAAUACAGAGGGUGCAAGCGUUAAUCGGAAUUACUGGGCGUAAAGCGCGCGUAGGUGGUUUGUUAAGUUGGAUGUGAAAUCCCCGGGCUCAACCUGGGAACUGCAUUCAAAACUGACAAGCUAGAGUAUGGUAGAGGGUGGUGGAAUUUCCUGUGUAGCGGUGAAAUGCGUAGAUAUAGGAAGGAACACCAGUGGCGAAGGCGACCACCUGGACUGAUACUGACACUGAGGUGCGAAAGCGUGGGGAGCAAACAGGAUUAGAUACCCCAGUAGUCCCUGAGCGGGCUGGCAAGGCGCAU
rnacentral:rRNA from 1 species